ACACAUAUUUAUUCGGCAUUUGGGCAGAGAUCCAGCAGAGGCAGAGACAUUUGCUCCUUCCAGCUCAGGUGCUGGCCCCUCAAACGAUCCAUUUGGUUUUGCCAGCGCAUAUCCUCCCCUUUAUAGGCCUGACAUCCCUGUUGAUAGAGAUCUAGUGACUCAAGAGGAAUUACAUCAGGUGGACAGGAUUGAGGAUGUGGACAUCGAG
rnacentral:lncRNA from 1 species